UACGUAGGUGGCAAGCGUUGUCCGGAUUUACUGGGCGUAAAGAGCGCGCAGGCGGUCGUUCAAGUCGCGUGUGAAAGCCCCCGGCUCAACUGGGGAGGGUCACGCGAUACUGAUCGACUCGAAGGCAGGAGAGGGUAGUGGAAUUCCCGGUGUAGUGGUGAAAUGCGUAGAUAUCGGGAGGAACACCAGUGGCGAAGGCGGCUCACUGGCCCGAUACUGACGCUGAGGAGCGAAAGCGUGGGGAGCAAACAGG
rnacentral:rRNA from 1 species